UACGGAGGGGGCUAGCGUUGUUCGGAAUUACUGGGCGUAAAGCGCACGUAGGCGGAUAUUUAAGUCAGGGGGUGAAAUCCCGGGGCUCAACCCCCGGAACUGCCUUUGAUACUGGGUAUCUGGAGGUCGAGAGAGGCGAGUGGAAUUCCGAGUGUAGAGGUGAAAUUCGUAGAUAUUCGGAAGAACACCAGUGGCGAAGGCGACACACUGGGCCAUUAUUGACGCUGAGGCGCGAAAGCGUGGGGAGCAAACAGGG
rnacentral:rRNA from 1 species